rnacentral:lncRNA from 1 species
AUAUAUAUACAUAAAUAUAUAUAUAUAUAUGCAUACCUGAAUCCUAUCCAUUUAAUUUUCCUUCUCACGUCUUUUCUCUAUCAAGGAUUCAUAAUUUUUUUUUAAUACAAUGAAAAAAGUGAACGCACACAUAGAUCAUACAUUAUAUAAACGAUAUAAGCAGGAACUGUUAGCAAAACAAAAAUACAUAUAUGAAGGUAAUUAUGAAAAAUUAUUUUAAAUAAAUAAAUAAAUAUACUUUAACAUUUUUUUUUUUUUCUAUUCUUUUGUGUUCUUGUUUUUAUUUUAGCAUUUCAGGACCAUUUUUACAUAACCUCAAUGUUCUCACAAUUUAAAAGUAGUGAAGAUAAUGAAGAAAUGUCUUUGAAAAAGAAGUUAUUUGUUAUAUAUAUAAAAAAAAAAGAAAAAAAAAAUAUAUUAUUUGCAAUUAAUUUCCACAUUUAUUAUUACUAUUAUUAUUAUUAUUAUUAUUAUUAUUAUUAUUAUUAUUAUUAUUAUUAUUUAAUUUUUUAUUAUUUUGCGCAGGGUAUGAUGCUUCUAGUUCAUUUUUAUUUUUUUAUAAAUGAUCAAAAAACAUUAAAUAUACUAUAUAAAACAUGUAAAAUGUUUAAACGAGACAAUAUUAGUUUUGCUCGUCAUCACCACAUAUUAAAAAUAUUAACAUUAAAAAUAAAGCCUGAUUUAUUUGAAAACCUAUUUUUCGAACUUAAAACUCAAAAAAAAAGUAAUAAUGUUAUAGAAGAGACACUGGAUAAAAAUAAAGUUACAAGUAAUAAUAAACAUAUAUUAAAUAUGUUCAAAAAUUAUAAUAAAACAUUAUUUAAUGAAUUUAGUAUAAGUAAUCGAAAGUAUAGCAUGGCUAUUCAAUUAGCUGGUAAAUAUAAGGAAUAUAUUAAUUGUUAUGAUUAUUUAAAUAACAAGCUAAGAGUAUAUACAUUAACAUAUGAUUUAUUUUUGUAAUGGUUAUGAAAUAUAAAAUGUGCUUAUAAAUUAAUAAUUUACAAACGCAUGUCAUAUUUAUACACAUACAACGUGGUAAAUAAAAUAAUAAAAUUGAAGUAAAAAAAAAAAAUA